rnacentral:rRNA from 1 species
GACGAACGCUGGCGGCGUGCCUAAUACAUGCAAGUCGAGCGGACAGACGGGAGCUUGCUCCCUGAUGUUAGCGGCGGACGGGUGAGUAACACGUGGGUAACCUGCCUGUAAGACUGGGAUAACUCCGGGAAACCGGGGCUAAUACCGGAUGGUUGUCUGAACCGCAUGGUUCAGACAUAAAAGGUGGCUUCGGCUACCACUUACAGAUGGACCCGCGGCGCAUUAGCUAGUUGGUGAGGUAACGGCUCACCAAGGCAACGAUGCGUAGCCGACCUGAGAGGGUGAUCGGCCACACUGGGACUGAGACACGGCCCAGACUCCUACGGGAGGCAGCAGUAGGGAAUCUUCCGCAAUGGACGAAAGUCUGACGGAGCAACGCCGCGUGAGUGAUGAAGGUUUUCGGAUCGUAAAGAUCUGUUGUUAGGGAAGAACAAGUGCCGUUCAAAUAGGGCGGCACCUUGACGGUACCUAACCAGAAAGCCACGGCUAACUACGUG